CUACGGGUUGCUGCAGUCGAUAAUCAUUCGCAAUGGGCGAAAGCCUGACGAUGCGACGCCGUGUGAGCGAAGAAGGCCUUCGGGUUGUAAAGCUCUUUCGCCUGGGAACAAGAGAAACUUCCGAAUAGGAAGUCUAUUUGAGGGUACUAGGUAAAGAAGCACCGGCUAACUCCGUGCCAGCAGCUGCGGUAAUACGGAGGGUGCAAGCAUUAAUCGGAUUUAUUGGGCGUAAAGUGCGCGUAGGUGGUUUUGUAAGUCAGAUGUGAAAUUCCGGAGCUCAACUCCGGAGCUGCAUUUGAAACUACAUAACUUGAGGAUAAACGGAGAAAAUAGAAUUUCACGUGUAGCGGUGAAAUGCGUAGAUAUGUGAAAGAAUACCGGUGGCGAAGGCGAUUUUCUAGUUUAUUCCUGACACUGAGGCGCGAAAGCAAGGGGAGCAAACAGGAUUAGAUACCCUAGUAGUC
rnacentral:rRNA from 1 species